UACGAAGGGUGCUAGCGUUGUUCGGAAUUACUGGGCGUAAAGGGCUCGUAGGCGGCCAACUAAGUCAGACGUGAAAUCCCUCGGCUUAACCGGGGAACUGCGUCUGAUACUGGAUGGCUUGAGUUCGGGAGAGGGAUGCGGAAUUCCAGGUGUAGCGGUGAAAUGCGUAGAUAUCUGGAGGAACACCGGUGGCGAAGGCGGCAUCCUGGACCGACACUGACGCUGAGGAGCGAAAGCCAGGGGAGCAAACGGG
rnacentral:rRNA from 1 species